rnacentral:rRNA from 1 species
UGGGGAAUAUUGCACAAUGGGCGCAAGCCUGAUGCAGCCAUGCCGCGUGUAUGAAGAAGGCCUUCGGGUUGUAAAGUACUUUCAGCGGGGAGGAAGGGAGUAAAGUUAAUACCUUUGCUCAUUGACGUUACCCGCAGAAGAAGCACCGGCUAACUCCGUGCCAGCAGCCGCGGUAAUACGGAGGGUGCAAGCGUUAAUCGGAAUUACUGGGCGUAAAGCGCACGCAGGCGGUUGAUUGAGUCAGAUGUGAAAUCCCCGGGCUUAACCCGGGAAUUGCAUCUGAUACUGGUCAGCUAGAGUCUUGUAGAGGGGGGUAGAAUUCCAUGUGUAUCGGUGAAAUGCGUAGAGAUGUGGAGGAAUACCGGUGGCGAAGGCGGCCCCCUGGACAAAGACUGACGCUCAGGUGCGAAAGCGUGGGGAGCAAACAGG